AGUGAACGCUGGCGGUAGGCCUAACACAUGCAAGUCGAACGGCAGCACAGUAAGAGCUUGCUCUUACGGGUGGCGAGUGGCGGACGGGUGAGGAAUACAUCGGAAUCUACUUUUUCGUGGGGGAUAACGUAGGGAAACUUACGCUAAUACCGCAUACGACCUACGGGUGAAAGCAGGGGAUCUUCGGACCUUGCGCGAUUGAAUGAGCCGAUGUCGGAUUAGCUAGUUGGCGGGGUAAAGGCCCACCAAGGCGACGAUCCGUAGCUGGUCUGAGAGGAUGGUGAGCCAGACGGGAACUGAGACAGGGUCCAGACUCCUACGGGAGGCAGCAGUGGGGAAUAUUGGACAAUGGGCGGAAGCCUGAUCCAGCCAUACCGCGUGGGAGAAGAAGGCCUUCGGGUUGUAAAGCCCUUUUGUUGGGAAAGAAAAGCAGCAGGUUAAUACCCCGCUGUUCUGACGGUACCCAAAGAAUAAGCACCGGCUAACUUCGUG
rnacentral:rRNA from 1 species